AAACAAUUUUUUUUAUUGAUAAUCUUUUUCAAACAGCAAUUUAACAGGAAGAGUUAUCAAAAAAACUGCAUUUCCCUACUAUUAAUUUGUAUAUUAUAUUAUAUGUGUUUAAAGGAGAUUAAUCGGUAUGGCGCAUGUGCGCAUUUUUAUCAGUAAUAUGGGGAACUGCGUAGUAAUAAAGUACAUAAAGUGCACAUCAAUGUUUGAUAAAAUCAUUAUUGCACAACAACAUUAUGUCAAUAAUUAUAAAAGAAACCAUUGAUUAUUUUUCAUUGAAUUAUUCUUAAACCGUAUUUUUUGUUUUUUAUGUGUAUAUCAUAUACAUAAAUGCAUUUAAUGUUUACUUUUAGUAGAGCAACAAAAAUUGAUACCCAUUUUUGAAGAAAUAAAAACCCUAUCAAAAUGAAUUAUGUUCUGUGUCUCAAUUGGUACGUUUUAACAUUAAAACAUUGGUAUUAUUUACAAACAUUUGGAAUAAACCAUAAUAUGAGCCUAAUUAAAUGGAAUUAGCCACUUGGGUGUUAUGAAUAUACUAGAAAUAGCCGAUAGGUACCUAGUGUACUUAUACUACCUUGACUAUGUAGGUACAUUGGCUGCAUUAUAAUACCAAUCAUUGCUUCAUUUAUGUGUCGAAUGAUAGUAUGGAAAAGAGUAAUAAUUUUCGGUUAAUAUAAAUUUUUGUUCAUUCGUUUUCUGUUUAUUAUCACUUGAUAGAUACCGGGGUCUGGUGCAUUAGUGUUCACGUAACUUUUGUUUUACAAGUUAUGAAGAAAAUUAUUUAAAUUCACAUCUAGAAAGCCAUUGAUGGUGUCCCACGCCUAAUGGUACUCAUAAUCCUGAUUCCUGACACCAAUUAUUUAUAACUAAUCUGUCUACAAUUUGCAAAAGAAUACGCAUUUAGAAGUGCCCUCAUUUUCUUUAAUCAAAACUUAAAUUUAACACCAUCAUUAUUUUUUUUAAUGAUUCCACUACACGCUAUAACAUACGUCUACGGCGCGGGGUACUGACUGAAUCAUGCAUGUGCAUAAAAUUGCCUAUAUUUAACGCCUUAAUAUUCAAUACUCAAUAUGGUCGCUCAAAAUAACGUAAUUAAAUAUGAUAAUAUGAUAAUAUUUUGAUGUUAAAAAUAAUUUGUUACUACCUGAAAAUGUUGUCCCAUUUUGUCAAGUAAAAAAUGUACAGUGUGAUAUAAUAAUUCAACAUAAAUAUUAUAUUUAAAAUUGUCCUAUUUGCUCUAAAGACAAAAAUAAGUUUAUUUGUCAUAAUAUCUUGGUACACUGAAAUAUUCUAAAAUAGAAUCUUAUGUUACGACGAAUGAUUAUAAAAUAAUUUUGUAUAAAAGGGGUCACAGGUCCUAUAGUGCUUUGCUCUCCCAGCAAAAAAGAGUAUAAAAGAGCUUAUAGUUAUACGCUGAAAUUUAACUUUUCUAUAUAAUAAAUAGAAAAAUUAAAUUUAAACAUCAUAUUAUAUCGCAAAUAUAUAAAAUAAAUGUUAAAUAUACUCUUAUACUAUAGAUAAUAUGUCUAUUUAAUAAAUUCAUUCACAAGUAAAUGAGUAAGUCAAUUUUCUAGGAAAGAAAUAUUUCACCUAUAGUCAUCUGAAUAUUCUUAAGUGAUGCCCCUCUAAUGAAUGAUUAUAGUUUAUAAUAACACGUUUAAUCGGUUUUUAUAGACAUACAUAUUAUAUUCCGAUUAUAGUCAGUUAAAGCUAAUUCGUGAAAAUGCUGUCGAGCUGAUGGUCUUAUGUAUUUGCAUACGAUUAUAUCAAUAUAAUAUAUACGGCGCCAACUUCUUGAAUGCUCGUCCAGAUUUUGUUACGCAUUGAUGGCAAAACCUUGAAACGGUUUCCGUUUAUUUUGGAAACCAUUUUAAAAAUAUGUCAUCCUGUUCGGUGAAACGUUGCCAUGUGUUUUUUUUCCGUUAACGUUUUCGGAUAUUCUACGUGAGUACGUGACGCCGCUGCAGCGAACGUUCAUAUAAAAAUCUAUGUAACUCAAAAACUUAACUAUUAUCGUUUAAAUUAAAAAAUAUGUAAAAAUAAAAUGAGAAUAUGUCAUUUUAAAA